CGCAAUGGGCGAAAGCCUGACGGAGCGACGCCGCGUGGUUGAUGAAGUCCUUCGGGACGUAAAAACCUUUUAUGAUUAGGAAAGUUUAUUGAUCCGAUCAUGAAUAAGGGGCUCCAAACUCUGUGCCAGCAGGAGCGGUAAUACAGAGGCCCCGAGCGUUGUCCGGAAUCACUGGGCGUAAAGGGUGUGUAGGUGGUUUUGUUAGUCUUCCGUUAAAUCUCCCGACUCAAUCGGGAAAGUGCGAAAGAUACGGCAAAACUACGAGGAUGUGAGAGGUAUAUGGAACUCAUGGAGUAGGGGUGAAAUCCGUUGAUAUCAUGGGGAACACCAAAAGCGAAGGCAGUAUACUGGCGCAUUCCUGACACUGAAACACGAAAGCGU
rnacentral:rRNA from 1 species